GACGAACGCUGGCGGCGUGCCUAAUACAUGCAAGUUGAGCGAUGAAGAUUGGUGCUUGCACCAAUUUGAAGAGCAGCGAACGGGUGAGUAACGCGUGGGGAAUCUGCCUUUGAGCGGGGGACAACAUUUGGAAACGAAUGCUAAUACCGCAUAACAACUUUAAACAUAAGUUUUAAGUUUGAAAGAUGCAAUUGCAUCACUCAAAGAUGAUCCCGCGUUGUAUUAGCUAGUUGGUGAGGUAAAGGCUCACCAAGGCGAUGAUACAUAGCCGACCUGAGAGGGUGAUCGGCCACAUUGGGACUGAGACACGGCCCAAACUCCUACGGGAGGCAGCAGUAGGGGAUCUUCGGCAAUGGACGAAAGUCUGACCGAGCAACGCCGCGUGAGUGAAGAAGGGUUUCGGAUCGUAAAACUCGGUUGGUAGAGAAGAACGUUGGUGAGAGUGGAAAGCUCAUCAAGUGACGGUAACUACCCAGAAAGGGACGGCUAACUACGUG
rnacentral:rRNA from 1 species